CCUCGUUAGUCGGUGACCGGGUGGAAUAUCUCGAGCACGUCGAGGAGCACGACCGAUCGCGUAAUCGGCCUCUCCUCCGUGUUCCAUAAAUGGUUAGGAGUAACGAGAAAAAGCGAGGGACACUCGGUUGACAUAGGCCUACUACUACUACUACUACUGCUACUAUUACUAUUGCUAUUACUAUUACUAUUACUAUUACUAUUGCUACGACUACGACUAUUACUACUACUGCUACUACUGCUACUACUAUUACUAGUACUAUUACUAUCACGGUUCGUUUUAGUCGCGACAAAUUCAUUCGUCUCGAAAAUCUUCGAGCUCGCAUUUAUCUUAUUUAACGAGCUUAGAAAAGUAAAGUAUAAUAUCUUAUAAUAAAAAACAAAUAGACGAACGCGUUAGACAAAGAAACGUUUUAGCAACUACAUUAUUUGAUACUUUUCAAUAUACAUACAUACACAUAUAUAUAUAUAUUCCAUUUAUGAUAAGAAAUUUAUUUCGUUUUAGACUAUUCUAACGAACCUUACACGAUCGACUAGGAUAAAUGAUUUUUUUCUUCGAUAGUUCUCGUAUAGGAACUACUUCGUAUCUCGAUCGAAGGGAGCGAGAGAAGGUGGACUAAUCUAGUUACGAUGUCAGAUCGAUAUUUUAGUAAACCAUUUAAUGAAGCACGGAAACGGUACGGUUAACGUAGCUAACUCCAACCAGCCACGUAUACUUCUACUUUUGGAGAUAAUGGCAGUUCCUGUCCAUUGCCGGACCCAGAAGCUCGUUAUUUCCCUCUAGAAUUGCUACCUUAGCCAUUGCCGUUCGAUACCACUUUGGCGUUAUUGCCCGGUGUCCGAUCAAGAUGGACCGUUUCUAUUACCACGUCUCGUACACUCGACAACGUCUCCCCGUUCGUACUCUUCUUGUUUUUGAAACUCAAAAAUGGCUCGCCGCUUACGUUUUCCGAUAUUAUUUUCUUUUCAUUUUAAUAACAUAACAUUUACGUCGAAGUAUAUUAAGAAUCCUCAAGGAUCAUCCUUUGAAUUUAUCGUGCGCGUUGAACUUUAUCGAAUACCUUAGAAAAUUUAUUCCAGAAAAGACAUUAGCAAAUUCUUAAUGCACCUUUUCCUUUGUUGCACUUCGAUUUGCAUUAUAAUGCGAUACUCGAGUGUAAUACUUGUUCGAUGCCACCGUUCGAACGCAUACUCGACGUGAAGUACUCAACAAUUAUGUAAAUUCGUACCGUCAUAAUAUGAGAGUUAAAUAUACAUACAGAAAGAGAAAGAGAUAGAGAGAGAGAGAGAGAGAGAGAGAGAGAGAGAGAGAGAGAGAGAGAGAGAACAAGAGAAAGAGAGAGUGCAUCGAACGAUUAUCGAAACGUCAGAUAGGCGAGUCACAGGUGUUGAAUCAAAAUUAUUCUUCGAAGUACAUUUUGAUCGUCUAAAAAAACGACAGGCACGAAGAUAAAGACCUUAACCAAGGUACAGUAGUAUAUCCUAGCGAGAAAGGAUCCUUUCCUUCCGCGAUUCGAACUUUCACAUCGUACGAGAGUGGAAUCGUGCUACAGGUGUGCGGGGUCGUCGAAUGCCGUUGGAGUUUUACGAGGUUAAUGUGCAAAGGCAUCGUCGUAGUCGUCGUAGUCGUCGUAGUCGUCGUCGUCGUCGUCGUCGUCGUCGUCGACGUCGUAGCGCCGAUAUCAGAAGCAAAGGGGAAAUAGACGGUCAGACGAAGAGAGAGACAGGUGGAAGAACUAUAUACGUAGAGUCGAGUCGACGUUUAAACACGCACGCCUUCUUCUCUCUACCGGCGAGAAAUUGAAAGAGAAAAAUUGUUCGAAGUUGGUUUGCUGCUUUGGGGGAUGCUGCUUGGCAUCGGACGACGAGACAGAGAGUGAAAGAAUGAAGAUGAACGAAGAAGAAAGAAAAAGAAGAAGAAGAGAGGUAGACGAAGAAGAAGAGGAAGAAGGGAAGAGGAGAGAAGGUCGCAUGGAAAAAUGUCUAAUUUAUUGGCCAACCGUUGAAGAACUCGUACGGACUCCCUACGUAUACAUACUCAGCGCGUGCUCGUUCCUUUUUGUUGUUAGAAAUACGCAGGUGAAACAGGCUUGGCUCUUUCUUGCGAAGGUUAAACACCUGCGACAAUGCUUCUCGACGCCCUGAACUUCGAUGUCGUGACCUUUUCUUCCUCCGGCCCACCGAUCCACGAUCCACACUAGUCGUCUGUCUAUGUAUGUAUCCUUUUAUAGGUGUGUCGAAACGAUGCCUUUCAUCGACUUGAUAUCGGAUACUUUGCUAGAUACAUAUAUAUAUGUAAUAGCUAACCGUAUGUUAAUCGAAGGUUAUACUUUGUUAAAGAAACAUUUGUCGAUCGUUCUCGAAAAGUAAAUCUAGCAUCUAUAGAUUAGGAUUAUUAACGUAAUACCGAAGGCAUAGAGAGAAAGACGGAAAAAAUACGAAAGGGAAAGGUCAUAAAUUACGCUACUACUAGUAAGAGAUAAGAUUGAUUUAGAAAGGAUCUACGAACUGAGAGAAAGAACGUGCGAUUUUCUUUAUCUUAAUUUCUUUUUUCGAAAAACUUCUUUCGUGGCAUUGACGAGACGAGUCGAUUAAGAAAGUAGUAUAAAUCCGUGAUUAAAAAGACAUAGGUUAUAUCCUCUUAGAGUUAGCCGUGGAAAAGAAUCCUCGUUUCCAGGCUCACACAAGAUCGGUGUGUACAUACGCGGUAUCCCUUUCAUUGGAUCCUUCAUUAUACUCACUUAUAGUACUCGCUUAUAGCGCUACGUAAUCUCGGUCGCAUCUCUGAUUUCAAUCUAUGCACUUACAACGCUCAGCACGCGAACGAUCUACAAAUCAGGCCUUAGCUAUUUCUUUUCAUUUUUUCUCUUUCUCGCGUGUAUUCUCGGCUUCUCUUUCUACGCACGCGUUGCGUAAUUUGCGUGAGUUAUUGGCUCGUGGUAGGUCCAGUUCUCGAUCCUGGUAUCGGGAGCAUUCGCAGGACAAACAGGUAAAGAGAACGAAAGGAAGUCGAGGGGGAUCCUUUCUCAAGAGUUUAGAAUCUAAUGUAGGUGAGAGAGAGGGAGAGAGAGAGAGAGAGAGAGAGAGAGAGAAAAGAAGUGGAGGAAGUGGAAAGAGAAAAAGGACAGAAGGAUUUUCUUUUUUCUUCCAUUUCUCCUUUUUUUUCUUUUUUUUUCGGCGAAAUUCUGUAACAUUCGAUUUUCCAUAUCGAGAACGAAACGAGACCGUACGAUAUAUUUCGAAACGAUCACUUAACGAUAUUCGGCUUAUUUUUUUUCCUCUCUUUUUUUUUCUUUUUCUUUUCUACUUAUUUUUUUUCUCCUUUUUCUUUCUCUUUCUUUUUCUCUUUCUUUCACUUCAAUCCUUUACUUCUAUUCCUUCUCCAGGGAUAACACAGAUCCGAUCGGAAUCGCACGGCUCCCACGAGACGCCUCCUGUGUAUACGAUUAACCGUAAACGGAUAAAUAUUAUGGCUGAGUAGGGUUUGCUGCUCGCGGAGCAAACAGACGCGGUCACGGGAAAUUAAUUAAUUAUCGCAAAGCGGACGAGUGCCGAUUGCCGUUGCAAAAGAGCCAUACACUCGUCAAAGGAAUGCACGAGCGACGCACUAUUAUCCGAGACACGCUACCGUGUCGUUCGUGAAUUUCUUAAGAUUCGAGAAGGAAUCGAUUCCGCAUGAAAAUGCCGAUUUAGAAAGGUAAGCCAUGUUUCUCUUGAUCGCGUUAGAGAUUUGUCGAUGGCGAGGCAUAUACGAUUGCGAUUUUCAAUUCAACUAGUAUACAGGGAAUUAUCGGUCUCGUUAAAUUCUAUAACGUUCGUAUAUUUCCUACAGGCAAAUCGGGAGUCUUCAAUAAUAAUAUCGACAUAUCGAAACUCUGAUCGUUUCGAUCUAUGAGAGAGCUUGUCCUUCGAGGAUUACGGUACGUUGAAGUAUGAGGAGGGAGGGAGAGAGAGAGAGAGACAGAGAACAAUGCAAGGCGAUGCGAUAAUCAUAUUGCACAAGGUAGUUUGUCUCGCUCAAGGCUAGUGCGUUUCCAGUGGAAUGAGAUUAUUUCCCGCAAAAGGUAAUAAUCGACAGAAACGUAGUCCGGAGCUAACCCGUGAGCUUCCCACGUUACGAGAUUUAUUAAAUUCCCUAGCGAGAGAGAUGAAAUAAAAAGAAAAGAAAGAGAUGAUAAAAAUGGAAAAAGAAAAAAACAAGGAGAAGAAGAAGAAAAAAGAGGAUACACGCGCUUAUAGUAGUCCCAUCGCUUUUACAUACAUCGCUAAGCAAAACGUCGAGAUCUCACGAACAUCCAAGAGACGUUGUUUGCAACCACGAAAAUACCAUAAAUCACGCUCACGGUCUAACCUUUUUUAUUCAUGCUAAUGGAGUAAACCGUUCGUUAAAUUUCACGAUUCGCGCGUUAGACGAGAUUCUCUAACGGAUAAUGUCCUUUACUUCGUUUAUUACGCUCUUAUCGAGAUCCUCGUUGACUAGGAGAAUGAGAGCGUUAGGUGCGAAACGAAGAAUUAACUUCGUUGCACCUUGUAUAGGGUACCUUAUGGCUUUAGUUAACUUUCGGACAAACCUAAAGGCCAAUUUUCUACUCUACUCUACCAGUUUAGAAGCAACGACGUUUUACGAGAUAAACGAUUCUUGAUAUUUAACGAGACGAGUUCGGAGCUUCGAGUUUGAGUUCUCCUUAGUAGUCAAGUGAAAGCAAAUAACGAGGUUAGAAAAAAGUAUGUACACCGAAAGUGGGGUACGGAUUUGACGAUGCAAUUUGGGCCACAGCAAAUUAUCUUCCCUCUCUCUCUCUCUCUCUCUAUCUCUCUCUCUAUCUAUCUAUCUAUCCGUCUAUCUUUUUCUAUUUUAGUAAUACUCGUCAAAGUAAUAGAUCCAAUUUAAGACGCAAUCUCGAGGCCCACGACGACGAGAUUCUCCUCAUUUUGCUUGAAACUGCAUUCGAUCUCUACAUUCGUCCCUCUACGUUCGCAAUGCUUCCUCGCUGGGUUCCUUUACCAAUAACCCAAUCCAGCUUUGCGACGACUCCCCAGACACGAUUUGUCAAUCGACUCGGCGGACUCCAUUACAUCGUAAACUCGACGAAAGUUACAUCGACGAGAAUAACCAAAGAGAUUGUGGAGCAGAAUUUCAAUGGAAGAUAAAAAGAAAAAAACACGAGAAAAAAGAAAAAAAGAAACAAACAAACAAAAAUAACAGAAUAACAGAAUUGACGGUGCACGCAAGUCGAGAUAAAAACGAACGAAAUCGAUCGUUCUAAUUUCGCUUUUUCACUUUUAUUUUUUGUUUAAUUUAUUAAAAAACAUUGGUAUUAUAUCGGUGUCGUAAAAUAUUACGUAUCUAAUCAAGCAAUCGUAAAAGAUAUUAAACAAGAUCGAUGAUAAUGAAUCAUGCAUUCCUGUCUCUACACUCAUGUCUUCUUCCUUUCUCUAUCUUUCGGAGAAUAAGAAAGGAGAGGUCCAACAAUGGGUACAUUAUCUAAACGUUUAUUACGUAGCUAGUUUCUCGCACGAUGAAUACUUUCCCACGGUUGAUCGUCCUCUUAAAGAAUGCGUCCUCCCUCGUAACAGGGUGUUCCAU